GUAUUGAUUGCGGGUUAGCGCAUAAAUGAGGUCAUUCUACACUUUUUAAAAGGGGUGUUUGUGUGAAAACGCGAGCCUCCUCCGAGAUGAUCCCAAAGGGUGCCCACGCGGUGAUGCACAAAGGGUGAGAUGGAUUUUUAUGUGAGAGGACACACUCUGGCGUGCACGACUCUUGUGGUAAAAGUCAGCGACAGCCCUCGCAUGCCUCACACAUUUUGUACGAUAAUGAUCCUUCCGCAGGUUCACCUACGGAAA
rnacentral:misc_RNA from 1 species